rnacentral:rRNA from 1 species
UACAGAGGGGGCAAGCGUUAUUCGGAAUUAUUGGGCGUAAAGGGCGCGUAGGCGGCUUCGCAAGUGGAAGGUGAAAUCCCUCGGCUUAACCGAGGAACUGCCCUCCAAACUGCGUUGCUUGAGGCCGGGAGAGGUGAGUGGAAUUCCCAGUGUAGCGGUGAAAUGCGUAGAUAUUGGGAGGAACACCAGUGGCGAAGGCGGCUCACUGGACCGGUACUGACGCUGAUGCGCGAAAGCGUGGGGAGCAAACGGG